CUAGUACCGUGAGGGAAAGGCGAAAAGAACCCCGGAGAGGGGAGUGAAAUAGAUCCUGAAACCGUAUGCGUACAAGCAGUGGGAGCCCACUUUGUUGGGUGACUGCGUACCUUUUGUAUAAUGGGUCAGCGACUUAUAUUCAGUGGCGAGCUUAACCGAAUAGGGGAGGCGUAGCGAAAGCGAGUCUUAAUAGGGCGACAGUCGCUGGGUAUAGACCCGAAACCGGGCGAUCUAUCCAUGGGCAGGUUGAAGGUUGGGUAACACUAACUGGAGGACCGAACCGACUACCGUUGAAAAGUUAGCGGAUGACCUGUGGAUCGGAGUGAAAGGCUAAUCAAGCUCGGAGAUAGCUGGUUCUCCUCGAAAGCUAUUUAGGUAGCGCCUCGUGUAUCACUGUUGGGGGUAGAGCACUGUUUCGGCUAGGGGGUCAUCCCCACUUACCGAACCGAUGCAAACUCCGAAUAC
rnacentral:rRNA from 1 species